rnacentral:rRNA from 1 species
AGUGUAGGCGGUUUAGUAAGUCGGAUGUGAAAUCCCAGGGCCCAACCCUGGAACUGCAUCCGAUACUGUUAGGCUAGAGUCCCGGAGAGGAUGGCGGAAUUCCCGGUGUAGGGGUGAAAUCCGUAGAUAUCGGGAGGAACACCAGUGGCGAAGGCGGCCAUCUGGACGGUGACUGACGCUGAGACUCGAAAGCGUGGGUAGCAAACAGGAUUAGAUACCCUGGUAGUCC